rnacentral:rRNA from 1 species
UACGUAGGGUGCAAGCAUUAAUCGGAUUUAUUGGGCGUAAAGGGCGCGCAGGCGGGGAUGCCAGUCAGAUGUGAAAUCCCGGAGCUCAACUCCGGAACAGCAUUUGAAACUACAUCUCUAGAGGGUAGACGGAGAGAACGGAAUUCCACAAGUAGCGGUGAAAUGCGUAGAUAUGUGGAAGAACACCAGUGGCGAAGGCGGUUCUCUAGUUUAUACCUGACGCUGAGGCGCGAAAGCAAGGGGAGCAAAC